GAAGAGCUCAAAUUUGAAAGCUGGCGUCCUACGGGCGUCCGCAUUGUAAUCUAUAGAGGCGUUUUCUGUGCUGGACCGUGUCCAAGUCCCUUGGAACAGGGUAUCAAAGAGGGUGACAAUCCCGUACUUGACACGACAACCAGUGCUCUGUGAUACGUCUUCUACGAGUCGAGUUGUUUGGGAAUGCAGCUCAAAAUGGGUGGUGAAUUCCAUCUAAAGCUAAAUAUUGGCGAGAGACCGAUAGCGAACAAGUACCGUGAGGGAAAGAUGAAAAGCACUUUGGAAAGAGAGUUAAACAGUAUGUGAAAUUGUUGAAAGGGAAACGAUGGAGGUCAGUCGUGUCUGUGGGAUUCAGCCGUCUCUGGCGGUGUACUUCCCACAGACGGGUCAACAUCAGUUUUGGCUGGCGGAUAAAGGCAGGAGGAAGGUGGCACCCCCGGGUGUGUUAUAGCCUCUUGUUGCAUACGCUGGCUGAGACUGAGGAAUGCAGCUCGCCUUUAUGGCCGGGGUCGCCC
rnacentral:rRNA from 1 species